rnacentral:misc_RNA from 1 species
GAUGAAGAACGCAGCGAAGUGCGAUAAGUAAUGUGAAUUGCAGAAUUCCGUGAAUCAUCGAAUCUUUGAACGCAAAUUGCACUUUCUGGUAUUCCGGAGAGUAUGCCUGUUUGAGGGUCAGUGUAAUAAAUAAAUCGUGGUUGUUACCACUUUUCGUGGUGACGCUUCGGAAUUGAGUCGUCUUACCUUCGGUUAAGUGACUUAAAAUUUUUUCAUACGAUUUCGAAACGUAUUUAAUGUAUUAUAUACGUUCACGAAUAUCGAAUGUUUUAUUAGGUGCGGUCAUUUUCAUUAAUUCGCGUCUAUAAUUUUUUUUUUUUUGACCUCAAAUCAGGUAAGAAUACCCGCUGAACUUAAGCAUAUCAAUAAGCGGAGGA